GUAAAGUUAUUCGAUGGUUGAGAUUACUGCAGAUACAUUUGCGAGAUGUACAUUAUUAAUUAAAUAAUAUUUAUGCUUGCUACACGUAAAUACCAUUGCAUUUUAUCUGUAAAAUAUAGUAAUAUGCAAUUUAUCAUUGCAUAUUACUGUAUUGCAUAUCAUUUUUAUAGCUUUAGUUACUUUGCAUAUUCAUAUUCAGACUUUAUUGAUCCGGUGGUGAAAUUCAAAAACUACCUGCAAAGUCAAACUUCCGCUGUUAUUUUGGUGAAAGUAAUGCAAAAGUAUUGUUCUGCAUUUACUCACAGGUUUCUGGGAGAAGAUGCAGAAGAAGGGGGAAAAAAGAACAAUGAAAUCCUCCUUGCAUGGACCAGGUCUGUCCUAAAUCAUAUGUGGUUUUCCUGUGCAACCAGUAAGGGGGACAUGAAGAAGGAUUCUGUGGCAUUUCAAGACCUGUCAUCGCUGGUCCUUGACAAAAGGCUUCUGAGAGACAUGGAAAAGAUGGCCCUGUUCAAACAUACUGGGCCGCUGGAAGUCUUUCACAGCGCACUUUUGAAAUACCUCCCCAAUGAAGGUUCCUGCACUACAAUGGUACCACACUGUCCAUAUCU